AUGAAUGAUAAUUCUGUAAAUUGGUGCUUUACGGGUUUCUAUGGUUAUCCGGCAUGGAAUGAAAAAUAUUUAUCUUGGGCUGAUCUUUGCGAAUUGCAUUCCCAUGUUCAUUAUCCUUGGGUAGUCAUUGGAUAUUUUAAUGAAAUUAUCUACUCUAGCGAAAAAGAAGGCGGUAAUGCUAGACCAAAUGAAAUGAUGCAGGAAUUUCGUAAGUGCUUGAGUGACUGUAACCUGGAGGAUAUGGUCUGUGUUGGUGAUCCAUUCACUUGGAGAAGCGGCGACAUCUGUGAAAGGCUUGAUCGAGCUAUUUGUAAUUCAGAAUGGGCAAAUAAAUUUCUGCGUGCUGCGAUUAUUAAUGGGGAGCAUGUACACUCAGACCAUCGUCCUUUGAUUCUUGACACAGAUUAUUUUGAUAGUAACUUGUUUAAUAGUUAG
rnacentral:rRNA from 1 species